rnacentral:rRNA from 1 species
AUUGAACGCUGGCGGCAUGCUUUACACAUGCAAGUCGAACGGCAGCGCGGGCUUCGGCCUGGCGGCGAGUGGCGAACGGGUGAGUAAUGCAUCGGAACGUGCCCAGUAGUGGGGGAUAGCCCGGCGAAAGCCGGAUUAAUACCGCAUACGACCUGAGGGUGAAAGCGGGGGACCGAAAGGCCUCGCGCUAUUGGAGCGUCCGAUGUCGGAUUAGCUAGUUGGUGGGGUAAAGGCUUACCAAGGCGACGAUCCGUAGCUGGUCUGAGAGGACGACCAGCCACACGGGGACUGAGACACGGCCCAGCCUCCUAAGGGAGGCAGCAGUGGGGAAUUUUGGAGAAUGGGGGCAACCCUGCUCCAGCCAUGCCGCGAGCGGGAAGAAGGCCUUCGGGUUGUAAACCGCUUUUGUUCGGGAAGAAAUCCUCUGGGCUAAUACCCCGGGGGGAUGACGGUACCGGAAGAAUAAGCACCGGCUAACUACGU